rnacentral:rRNA from 1 species
AGACUUUAGAUAUGAUCCAGAGUACCACGGGACACGUGAAACCCUGUGGGAAGCAGGAGGGACCACCCUCCAAGGCUAAAUACUACCUAGUGACCGAUAGCGUAUAGUACCGUGAGGGAAAGGUGAAAAGAACCCCGGGAGGGGAGUGAAAUAGAACCUGAAACCCUGCACUUACAAGCUGUGGAAGCACAUUUCUUGUGUGACCGCGUACUUUUUGUAGAACGGGCCAACGAGUUACGUUAAGUAGCAAGGUUAAGCACUUAAGGUGGGAGCCGUAGCGAAAGCGAGUUUUAACUGAGCGUUCAGUUACUUGACGUAGACCCGAAACCGGGCGACCUACCCAUGAGCAGGAUGAAGCGAAAGUAAAAUUUCGUGGAGGUCCGAACCCACGAGCGUUGAAAAGCUCGGGGAUGACUUGUGGGUAGCGGUGAAAUUCCAAUCGAGCCCGGAGAUAGCUGGUUCUCCCCGAAAUAGCUUUAGGGCUAGCCUCAAGGUGAGAGAUACGGAGGUAGAGCACUGAAUGUCCUAGGGGGUAUUGCACCUACCGAAGACUAUCAAACUCCGAAUGCCGUCAUCUUAUACUUGGGAGUCAGACUGUGGGUGAUAAGAUUCAUAGUCGAAAGGGCAACAGCCCAGAUCGUCAGCUAAGGUCCCUAAAUGUAAGUUAAGUGGUAAAGGAUGUGGGAUUGCACAGACAACCAGGAUGUUGGCUUAGAAGCAGCCACUCAUUCAAAGAGUGCGUAAUAGCUCACUGGUCGAGUGAUCCUGCGCCGAAGAUUUCCGGGGCUAAAACUUACUACCGAAGCUACGGCAUCAGUAAUGAUGGGUAGGGGAGCUUCCCAUACGGGUUGAAGCAUGACCGUAAGGACAUGUGGACAGUAUGGGAGUGAGAAUGUUGGCAUGAGUAGCGAGAUGUGGGUGAGAAUCCCACAGGCCGUAAACCCAAGGUUUCCAGGGGAAGGUUCGUCCGCCCUGGGUUAGUCGGGACCUAAGCUGAGGCCGAAAGGCGUAGGUGAUGGACAACAGGUUGAUAUUCCUGUACUACCGAUAACCGUUUGAGAGAAGGGAUGACACAGUAGGAUAAGCUAAGCACACUGUUGGUUAUGUGUGCCCAAGCAUUGAGGCAGUCAAAGUAGGCAAAUCCGCUUUGAUAAUGCUGGGAUGUGAUGGGGAGCGAAAUUUAGUAGCGAAGUAGCUGAUUUCACACUGUCAAGAAAAGUCUCUAUCGAGGUUAAAGGUACCCGUACCGCAAACCGACACAGGUGGGUGAGGAGAGUAUCCUAAGGCCAGCGAGAGAACUGUUGUUAAGGAACUCGGCAAAAUGACCCCGUAACUUAGGGAUAAGGGGUGCCACCAUCAGGUGGCCGCAGAGAAUAGGCCCAAGCGACUGUUUACCAAAAACAUAGGUUUCUGCUAAGUCGCAAGACGAUGUAUAGGAGCUGACGCCUGCCCGGUGCUGGAAGGUUAAGGGGAUCUGUUAGAGCAAUCGAAGCAGUGAACUUAAGCCCCAGUAAACGGCGGCCGUAACUAUAACGGUCCUAAGGUAGCGAAAUUCCUUGUCGGGUAAGUUCCGACCCGCACGAAAGGCGUAACGAUUUGGGCACUGUCUCAACAACAGACUCGGUGAAAUUGUAAUUCCGGUGAAGAUGCCGGAUACCUGCGACAGGACGGAAAGACCCCAUGGAGCUUUACUGUAGCUUGACAUUGGGUCUUGGUACUACAUGUACAGGAUAGGUGGGAGGCUUUGAAACCAGGACGCCAGUUUUGGCGGAGCCAUCCUUGGGAUACCACCCUUGUAGUACUGGGACUCUAACCAUAGGCCAUGAAUCUGGUCUUGGGACACUGUCAGGUGGGCAGUUUGACUGGGGCGGUCGCCUCCCAAAAGGUAACGGAGGCGCUCAAAGGUUCUCUCAGUACGGUCGGAAAUCGUACGUAGAGUGUAAAGGCAAAAGAGAGCUUGAUUGCAAGACAUACAGGUCGAGCAAGGAUGAAAAUCGGACUUAGUGAUCCGGUGGUUCUGCGUGGAAGGGCCAUCGCUCAACGGAUAAAAGCUACCCUGGGGAUAACAGGCUUAUCUCCCCCAAGAGUCCACAUCGACGGGGAGGUUUGGCACCUCGAUGUCGGCUCAUCACAUCCUGGGGCUGUAGUAGGUCCCAAGGGUUGGGCUGUUCGCCCAUUAAAGUGGUACGCGAGCUGGGUUCAGAACGUCGUGAGACAGUUCGGUCCCUAUCCGUCGCAGGCGUAGGAAAUUUGAGAAGACCUGUCCUUAGUACGAGAGGACCGGGAUGGACGUACCUCUGGUGUACCAGUUGUCCUGCCAAGGGCAUGGCUGGGUAGCUAUGUACGGAAUGGAUAAGCGCUGAAAGCAUCUAAGCGCGAAGCCAACUUCAAGAUAAGAUUUCCCACCGUAAGGGUAAGACCCCAGAAAGACUAUCUGGUUGAUAGGUCGAAGGUGUAAGUGCAGCAAUGUAUUUAGCUUAUCGAUACUAAUAGGUCGAGGACUUGACCA